rnacentral:rRNA from 1 species
CCUACGGGAGACAGCAGUGAGGAAUAUUGGUCAAUGGGCGGAAGCCUGAACCAGCAAAGUAGCGUGCAGGAUGACGGCCCUACGGGUUGUAAACUGCUUUUAUACGGGAAUAACGCGCCUUACGUGUAGGGCUUUGCAUGUACCGUAUGAAUACGGAACGGCUAAUUCGGUGCCAGCAGCCGCGGUAAGACGGAAGGUCCGGGCGUUAUCCGGGUUUAGUGGGUUGAGAGUGAGCGUAGGCCGCAUGUCAAGCGUGCUGUGAAGUGUCCGGGCUCAACCCUGGCCUGGCAGUGCGAACUGGCGUGCUUGAGUCCGCGGAAGGCAGGCGGAAUUCGUUGUGUAGCGGUGAAAUGCGUAGAGAUGACGAAGAACCACGAUUGCGAAGGCAGCUUGCUGGAGUGGAACUGACGCUGAUGCGCGAAAGCGCGGGUAUCGAACAGGAUUAGAUACCCGGGUAGUC